rnacentral:misc_RNA from 1 species
CGUAACAAGGUCUCCGUUGGUGAACCAGCGGAGGGAUCAUUACUGAGUUUACGCUCUAUAACCCUUUGUGAACAUACCUAUAACUGUUGCUUCGGCGGGUAGGGUCUCCGCGACCCUCCCGGCCUCCCGCCUCCGGGCGGGUCGGCGCCCGCCGGAGGAUAACCAAACUCUGAUUUAACGACGUUUCUUCUGAGUGGUACAAGCAAAUAAUCAAAACUUUUAACAACGGAUCUCUUGGUUCUGGCAUCGAUGAAGAACGCAGCGAAAUGCGAUAAGUAAUGUGAAUUGCAGAAUUCAGUGAAUCAUCGAAUCUUUGAACGCACAUUGCGCCCGCCAGCAUUCUGGCGGGCAUGCCUGUUCGAGCGUCAUUUCAACCCUCAAGCUCUGCUUGGUGUUGGGGCCCUACAGCUGAUGUAGGCCCUCAAAGGUAGUGGCGGACCCUCCCGGAGCCUCCUUUGCGUAGUAACUUUACGUCUCGCACUGGGAUCCGGAGGGACUCUUGCCGUAAAACCCCCCAAUUUUCCAAAGGUUGACCUCGGAUCAGGUAGGAAUACCCGCUGAACUUAAGCAUAUCA